ACAUCCGGUGUCUUGGUGCUUCAGUCCACUGAAAUUGAAAAAUCAGGCAUCGACACAGAAGCUCUCAUAGAGAUGAGAUAGAGACGCUUCUUUAGUGAGUGAGAGAAACAGCGGUAAAGCCGAAAUAAUAAAUCUCCGAAGAAGGAAACGGGAGAUGUCUCAUCUCGUUCUCUUCCUGCACCGGCGAGAGACAGGAGCUCGCAAAAAGACAGGUCCCUAGUAGAGAAAGAGAGAAAUUCAACUCGAACGAGGUCUCCUUCGUCAAGAAUGAAAAUAUUAAGGAGAGCCCAUGCAGAGAAAGAGGGUGAAAAAACGAGGGAUAGAGAGAUCGAGAGGAAUUAUGUGAAAAAGGGAAGCGAGAAGGGUGAGAGAAGAAUAUGAAAGGAAUCACAGAGAGAGAGGAGAUGGGGAAGCUGGGAAGGAGAGAAGGUCAGAGGUUGAAGGAGAGUCUUCUUCUAGAGGAAGACAUGGGGGGUGGUCUGGUUUUCCAUUGGGAUCAAACCGUCGGAACAGGAGGAAGCAUAGGUCUCGCUCACCACCGCCUCAGUGAGAAAGAGACCGCAAUGAGAAACAAUCUUCUUUUGAGUUAUCUGGAAAACUCGCUUCUGAAAUCAAUAGAGUCAGAGGCAUUACAUUGCUGUUCACCAAGCCCCCAUAUGCUAAGAAACCUGAUAUAAGAUGGAGACUUUAUGUUUUUAAGGGUGGUGAGGCUCUGAAUGGUAAGUUCUGGGGAUUCUUCUUCAUCUGAGAUGCAUGUUUCUGUGAGAAAUGUAAAAUUCAUAAAUUCUUUAAUUCAAGGUUUAUUUCAGUUUAACAUCCCCAAACAAUUAUGUAUUAUCUGUACGGUUUUUUUUUCAUAUAAUUUUCAAGUUUACCCAAUUUUUUUUUUUCAUAAUGCCCCCACCCACUCCCUCAUUCAAAGUUCUAGCUCUGCCCCGGCUAGUUUUUCAAUUUUCAAAAACAACUCUGUUUAUUGAGUAGACAACCUUUAGUCCUCAGCAGAAAGGGGUCUGUAGUCAAUCAAUUUCUUUUCAUUCUGACGGGAUCCUUUCUGUACUUGGUACUGUUGACACUAACUUUGUAUUUAUUUCUUUUAUGGCUAGCCCUUGUUAAGAAUGGAAUCUCUGAUUACAGAAGAAACUUGUUAGCUUACCCUCUGGGUGAUGUUUAUGUUUCUCAAGCAUAUUGGUAAACAGAACCCCUUUAUAUACACCGUCAAAGCUGUUACCUUUAUGGGAGAGAAAGGAUGGUCGUAGAUAUUCCUACAGACCAUCCAUCUCGUAGCAAGAAACAUGCUGUUAUUCAAUCCAUUAGAUCUUAAAUUACCAGUUUAAUCUUUCUUCUUUGUUGUUUCAGGGCAUUUUUGUGAUUUCUUGUUUCUGGUUUGUUUGGCAAGUAGAAAAGGAGCAGCCUGAUGGUAUGUUAAAAAAUCAAGUUAAGAAUCGGCUGUAUCAUGACCCUUAUCAUAGAUUGAUGAGAAUUUACCAUAUCUCCACGUCUAACUUUGUCUUCUCCACAUUCAUUGACAGGCCUUACAUAAUGGAUCUUGGAAGCACCAAUAAAACUCAUUAAUGUGAACAAUAUCUCAUAAUAUCCAGUUACCAUAAAUUGAGCUUUUCUUGUAUUCAUUGCUAUAAUUGAAUGUAAAAUUUCUUCUGCAUUCCUGGAUAAUCCCAUUGAACUUCAGCACUAUUAUGAACUAUUUGAAAAGGAUACAAUCAAAUUUGGUAAUAGCUGGUAGGCCACCAAUCAAAAUGCAACUUCUAUUUGUUAUUGUGUGAAUCAUGACUCAAGUUUCUUUGCCUCUUCACUGUUAUUUUACUGGCUAAAGUAGUCUCCUUUUAUUUGGUAUUUGAAUAAUGUAUGUUUUGGCUGUGAUUUCUUCAUGUUCAUCUCUUUGGGCAUUUGGGUCAGUCUUUUUGUGUACUGCAAAAGCUCUUGGGAAAUUAAGUUGCAUACCAUUUUCCCUGAUUCUAAAAGUUGAGGAUGUGAUUUUUUCAUCCCUUGAGGCUUAUAGUUUAAAUAGCUUAAAUGGAGUCUAUACUCUAUUGAAACCUUUGUCUGAGUAUGCAGGUCUCUUAUUCCAAUUAAUCCUGGCCAUUUUUCUCCUUUGUAAGUAUAAUUUUCCUUUUGUCCUUGCAUGCUGAGCAUAAAGGAUCACACUUUCAUUUCCUCGUAUCACUGUAAGCAAACCUCGGAAACUUCUGUUUUGAACCAUUUAUGUACACCAAAACUCUCUUUGUUUGUUUGAAGGCAAACUUUGAAUUAUCUGAAUGUCAUGUAUGUAGGCAAGCUUCUGUUUUGAACCAUUUAUACACAUCAAACUUUGUUUGUUUCCUUCUGCAGAAAACAAAGUGGGAAGCGAAUACAUGCUAUGCUUACCAAGUUGCAUUUUGAUGCUAGAAACACUAUCUCAUUCUUCAGAAUUGUUUGGAACACUUAGUACCAUUUUCAUGCACAUGCUUGUACAUUUGACAUGGAUGAUUUUUGUAUUUUUCUAGAUAGUAUGUGGCGUAUAUUUGCCAGGGGAAUAUGUUUCACUCUAGAAACUAAUUCCAAUGGCAAAGUUGACAUUUUGUUUUGUCUGUUCUAUUCUUGACCACUGCAGAAAAUGCUUCACAUUGACAUGAAUAAUUGAAGAAUCCUGAAUGAUUUUUCCAUGCUGGUCUUGUCCUGCUCAUUGUAAAUAAUUUACGUGUCCUUUUUUUUCAGCCGUGAAUAUGUACAAUUGCACGAGAACACUGCAUAGAGAUGUUCAUUAAGUGGCUUCUCCAGUAUGAUUUUCUGACAUCCUCAUGCCAGAGAAUCAACAACAUUUUGUUUAUCAAUGGAACUUUUAUUCUGAGUAGGAAACCUCUUAAAGAGCGCUUAUUUCUCCCCAUCCAGGGAUUAUCAAAUACGAGAACUCAAUUGGUUUGAACUGGUCUGUUUAUGGUUGUUUUUAUGCUGAUCGAGGUCUGUGGCCAUUCCAGUCAUGUGUGUUGCAUAGCUGGCCGUUGUAUUCGAUCCUUGUAUGGCUAAUUAAUCUGAUUGAAUGGUUAUUCGCUCUCGAGGUUUAUUUAUUUGUCAAAAAUAUCAGUGAUGAUUGUAUUU